rnacentral:piRNA from 1 species
CUCUGAAUCUAAGAAGUAAGG